GGAUGAACGCUAGCGACAGGCUUAACACAUGCAAGUCGAGGGGCAGCACGGGAGUAGCAAUACUUGGUGGCGACCGGCGCACGGGUGAGUAACGCGUAUGCAACCUACCUAUCAGAGGGGAAUAACCCGGCGAAAGUCGGACUAAUACCGCAUAAAACAGGGGCACCGCAUGGUGAUAUUUGUUAAAGAAAUUCGCUGAUAGAUGGGCAUGCGUUCCAUUAGGUAGUUGGUGAGGUAACGGCUCAUCAAGCCGACGAUGGAUAGGGGAACUGAGAGGUUGGUCCCCCACACUGGUACUGAGACACGGACCAGACUCCUACGGGAGGCAGCAGUGAGGAAUAUUGGUCAAUGGGCGGGAGCCUGAACCAGCCAAGUCGCCGUGAAGGAAGAAGGAUCUAUGGUUCGUAAACUUCUUUUGCAGGGGAAUAAAGUGCAGGACGUGUCCUGUUUUGUAUGUACCCUGAGAAUAAGGAUCGGCUAACUCCGUGCCAGCCGCCGC
rnacentral:rRNA from 1 species